UCAAGACCUCAGUGUGUUGCUUAAGGAGAAUAUAUCGAUAUAUUCCUUGCAAAGCACAUUAAAGAAUGGUUUUUGUUAGUUUAAUCGUAUAUAAUUCCGUGUUACACACUACGAUCUGCUACAGCGCUACAAAAUGAGGAAAUUUCUUGUUCUUCUGAUCAUCGGCAUGGUGUUGGUGGAAACCUUUGCCAGACAGAAACGAAAUGCUGACAAUGGAGAUAAAGACGAUGAUAACAAAAGCAAAAAUGACGAUGAUGACAAGAAUAAUGGAGAUGACAGUAAUAAGGGAGGGCGGGACAGGAGAAACGCAGAUGACGGCGGCAACAGUAAGGCGAGUAAGGAGAGUAAGGAGAGCAAGGAGAAAGAUGAUGGGAGAUAAAGAGGAAGUAGCCGCAAUGUAAAGAAGAAGGCUGAAAAUGAAAAGGAAAUGACUCAUUGAAUUAACUAAAUGAUAAACCUCUUUGCUCAGAUUCACAAAGCAUAGUACUGAUUCAACUCACUGUACCGUAUUGUUGCGGAUUUUGAUGUAGAUACUCUUUUAAUUUCUUAAAACAAACUCGGUGUUGUGAACUAGAUUACAACUGUAGCUUAUCUAUAUUUAUAACACAUGUGUGUAGAAUGUCCUUUGUAGUCGAUAAUAUAUGUAUGGGUAGAAUGUGAAGUACUGUUAGGUUGAAGGAAACCCAUGUGAUUUUGACAGAUGUCAACGUCACUUUACUUUUAAAGUACUAGGUUCAUAGAAAUGAACAAUUAUAUUCUGUAUAUUUGAGACUACAUAUGCCGGUAUGUUGUGAAACAUAUAAUAUGUAUAUUGAUUUAGUUGUUUUAUAACACCAAUAUAUGGACAGAAUACAACAGAUU